AAUGAACGCUGGCGGCGUGCCUAACACAUGCAAGUCGAGCGAGAAAGUCCUUCGGGAUGAGUACAGCGGCGGACGGGUGAGAAACGCGUGAGAAUCUGCCCUUCAAUGAAGGAUGCCCUCGAGAAAUCGAGGUUAAUACUGCAUACGUCCCUUCGGGGAGAAAGAUGGCCUCUUUGCUGUCGUUGAAGGAUGAGCUUGCGUACUAUCAGCUAGUUGGUGAGGUAAAGGCUCACCAAGGCUAUGACGGUUAGCCGGCCUGAGAGGGUGUACGGCCACAUUGGAACUGAGAUACGGUCCAGACUCCUACGGGAGGCAGCAGUGGGGAAUAUUGCGCAAUGGGCGAAAGCCUGACGCAGCGACGCCGCGUGGAGGAUGAAGGUCUUCGGAUUGUAAACUUCUGUUAAGCGGGAAAAAAGACUCAUUCCUAAUACGAAUGAGGGAUGAUUGUACCGCUAGAGAAAGCACCGGCUAAACUCGUGCCAGCA
rnacentral:rRNA from 1 species